rnacentral:rRNA from 1 species
GGGUACGAUCAUUCCAGCACUAAUGCACUGGAUUCGAUCAGAACUCCGCAGUUAAGCAUGCUUGGGCGAGAAUAGUUCUAAGAUGGGCAUGUCUUAUGACUU